rnacentral:rRNA from 1 species
UGGCGGCGUGCUUAACACAUGCAAGUCGAGCGAUGCGGUUUGUCGGAAGUUUCCUUCGGGAAACGGAAUUGGAUUAGCGGCGGACGGGUGAGUAACACGUGGGUAACCUGCCUCAUAGAGUGGAAUAGCCUUCCGAAAGGAAGAUUAAUACCGCAUAAUGUUGAAAGAUGGCAUCAUCAUUCAACCAAAGGAGCAAUCCGCUAUGAGAUGGACCCGCGGCGCAUUAGCUAGUUGGUGGGGUAACAGCCUACCAAGGCGACGAUGCGUAGCCGACCUGAGAGGGUGAUCGGCCACAUUGGGACUGAGACACGGCCCAGACUCCUACGGGAGGCAGCAGUGGGGAAUAUUGCACAAUGGGGGAAACCCUGAUGCAGCAACGCCGCGUGAGUGAUGAAGGUUUUCGGAUCGUAAAGCUCUGUCUUUGGGGAAGAUAAUGACGGUACCCAAGGAGGAAGCCACGGCUAACUACGUGCCAGCAGCCGCGGUAA